AACAAUUCCUCCCAGCCAGGAGAGUAAGGCCAGGAAGAGCUCAGGUGUGGGAAGGCGUUCAGACCGCUUUGGUACUCACAGCAUGGCUGGGCAACAACCAGUAACGGGUUCAGACAAACCAAACAAGCAUCUCAUCCACCUUAGGUUGUUCAAGAAAAAUGGCUGAUUUCUGAGCAUACAAUACAAAACACAAGAGUCAGAGACAGACGGAACAGAUGAAGACAAAGUUGUCCCAUAGGAAACGAUCUCUGAUUUGUAAAACAUCUGCAAAACGACAGAGAAGACCACAAGCUCUAGUUCGAGGUGAAGAGGCUCUCCCGAGAGCCCAGUGCCAGGCUGGGCCACAAAGCCUCCAUGCCAUGCAGCACCACGGAGACCCUGAGGCCUUCGCCUCAGGAGUGAGCGAGGCACCUCUACUGCACCGCCAACUUCUCUGUUAGGACGAAGGCUGUAGAAAUGCGACACCACUUGGUGCAUUGACUUUAUUAUAUUGAUUUAUGCUUUCCCUUUAAUUAAAAGGUACCAGGAAAACA